rnacentral:tRNA from 1 species
CAAAAUAAAACAUAAACUAUGUAUUCUUCUUACACAAGAAAUAAAAAGAAAACUUUUAUUUUGU